rnacentral:rRNA from 1 species
AGUUUGAUCCUGGCUCAGAACGAACGCUGGCGGCAGGCUUAACACAUGCAAGUCGAACGCCCCGCAAGGGGAGUGGCAGACGGGUGAGUAACGCGUGGGAACGUGCCCUUCGCUUCGGAAUAGCCCCGGGAAACUGGGUGUAAUACCGAAUACGCCGUAUUGGGAAAGAUUUAUCGGCGAAGGAUCGGCCCGCGUUGGAUUAGCUAGUUGGCGGUGUAAGAGACCACCAAGGCGACGAUCCAUAGCUGGUCUGAGAGGAUGAUCAGCCACAUUGGGACUGAGACACGGCCCAAACUCCUACGGGAGGCAGCAGUGGGGAAUCUUGGACAAUGGGCGCAAGCCUGAUCCAGCCAUGCCGCGUGAGUGAAGAAGGCCUUAGAGUUGUAAAACUCUUUCGCCGGUGAAGAUAAUGACGGUAACCGGAGAAGAAGCCCCGGCUAACUUCGUGCCAGCAGCCGCGGUAAUACGAAGGGGGCUAGCGUUGCUCGGAAUUACUGGGCGUAAAGCGCACGUAGGCGGAUCUGUAAGUAGGAGGUGAAAUCCCAAGGCUCAACCUUGGAACUGCCUUCUAGACUGCAGGUCUUGAGGUCAGG